rnacentral:rRNA from 1 species
AUUGAACGCUGGCGGCAUGCCUUACACAUGCAAGUCGAACGGUAACAGGUUAAGCUGACGAGUGGCGAACGGGUGAGUAAUGUAUCGGAACGUGCCCAGUCGUGGGGGAUAACUACUCGAAAGAGUGGCUAAUACCGCAUACGACCUGAGGGUGAAAGCGGGGGACCGUAAGGCCUCGCGCGAUUGGAGCGGCCGAUAUCAGAUUAGCUAGUUGGUGGGGUAAAAGCCCACCAAGGCGACGAUCUGUAGCUGGUCUGAGAGGACGACCAGCCACACUGGGACUGAGACACGGCCCAGACUCCUACGGGAGGCAGCAGUGGGGAAUUUUGGACAAUGGACGCAAGUCUGAUCCAGCCAUGCCGCGUGCGGGAAGAAGGCCUUCGGGUUGUAAACCGCUUUUGUCAGGGAAGAAACGAGUUUCUCUAAUACAGAGACUUAAUGACGGUACCUGAAGAAUAAGCACCGGCUAACUACGUGCCAGCCGCCGCCGCGGUAA